GGAUUCCCCUAGUAACUGCGAGUGAAGCGGGAUGAGCUCAAAUUUAAAAUCUGGCGGUCUUUGGCCGUCCGAGUUGUAGUCUGGAGAAGUGCUUUCCGCGCUGGACCGUGUACAAGUCCCUUGGAACAGGGCGUCAUAGAGGGUGAGAAUCCCGUCUCUGACACGGACUACCAGUGCUUUGUGAUGCGCUCUCGAAGAGUCGAGUUGUUUGGGAAUGCAGCUCAAAAUGGGUGGUAAAUUCCAUCUAAAGCUAAAUAUUGGCGAGAGACCGAUAGCGAACAAGUACCGUGAGGGAAAGAUGAAAAGCACUUUGGAAAGAGAGUUAAACAGUACGUGAAAUUGCUGAAAGGGAAACGCUUGAAGUCAGUCGCGUCGUGCGGAACUCAACCUUGCUUUUGCUUGGUGYACUUUCUGUACGACGGGCCAGCAUCGAUUUUGACCGCCGGAAAAGGGUUGGGGGAAUGUGGCACCUUCGGGUGUGUUAUAGCCCCCGGUCGCAUACGGCGGUUGGGAUCGAGGAUCGCAGCGCGCCGCAAGGCAGGGGUUCGCCCACUUUCGCGCUUAGGAUGCUGGCGUAAUGGCUUUAAACGACCCGUCUUGAAACACGGACCAAGGAGUCUAACAUGCCUGCGAGUGUUUGGGUGGAAAACCCGAGCGCGUAAUGAAAGUGAAAG
rnacentral:rRNA from 1 species